GACGAACGCUGGCGGCGUGCUUAACACAUGCAAGUCGAACGGAAAGGCCCCUUUGGGGGUACUCGAGUGGCGAACGGGUGAGUAACACGUGAGUAACCUGCCCUUGACUUCGGGAUAACUUCAGGAAACUGGGGCUAAUACCGGAUAGGAAUCCUUGCUGCAUGGUGGGGGUUGGAAAGCUUCGGCGGUUUUGGAUGGACUCGCGGCUUAUCAGCUUGUUGGUGGGGUAGUGGCUUACCAAGGCGUUGACGGGUAGCCGGCCUGUGAGGGCGACCGGCCACAUUGGGACUGAGAUACGGCCCAGACUCCUACGGGAGGCAGCAGUGGGGAAUAUUGCACAAUGGGCGGAAGCCUGAUGCAGCAACGCCGCGUGCGGGAUGACGGCCUUCGGGUUGUAAACCGCUUUCAGCAGGGGCGAAGCUUGUGGUGACGGUACCUGCAGAAGAAGCACCGGCUAACUACGUG
rnacentral:rRNA from 1 species